rnacentral:rRNA from 1 species
CAGUAGCCGCGGGAAUACGUAGGUCCCGAGCGUUGUCCGGAUUUAUUGGGCGUAAAGCGAGCGCAGGCGGUCAGAUAAGUCUGAAGUUAAAGGCUGUGGCUUAACCAUAGUACGCUUUGGAAACUGUUUAACUUGAGUGCAAGAGGGGAGAGUGGAAUUCCAUGUGUAGCGGUGAAAUGCGUAGAUAUAUGGAGGAACACCGGUGGCGAAAGCGGCUCUCUGGCUUGUAACUGACGCUGAGGCACGAAAGCUAGGGGAGCAAACAGGAUUAGAUACCCGCGUAGUCCCUGUCUCUUAUACA